UACGUAGGGUGCAAGCGUUAAUCGGAAUCACUGGGCUUAAAGGGUGCGUAGGCGGCGCUAAAAGUUGGGUGUGAAAUCCCUCGGCUUAACCGAGGAACUGCGCCCAAAACUGUAGUGCUUGAGGGAGAUAGAGGUGAGCGGAACUUAGGGUGGAGCGGUGAAAUGCGUUGAUAUCCUAAGGAACGCCAGGGGCGAAAGCGGCUCACUGGGUCUCUUCUGACGCUGAGGCACGAAAGCUAGGGUAGCGAACGGG
rnacentral:rRNA from 1 species